CACAGUCAACAAAGAGUGAUAAUGGUUCAGCUGUUAAUUUUUCUGCUAAAGUUUCUAGCCUUGCUGCAGAGGAUGAUGUUGAUGACACAAAUCAGCCGCUUUCAGUUGAGCCCCUGCAAUCUGUGCAGCCUGUUCUGCAUAAUCACCCUGCAGUUGUGUCAAGAACUUUGGAUAAUUAUAGAACUGGCAAGAUGACCGAGUUAUUGCAGGUAAUAGCUCAUAUGAGAGUUGAUCUGGAUUGCAAUUAAUGUUAAAUCAGUUAAUAUAUAAGAUUAAUGACUUAUAAAUUGACACCCAGCGUUUAAGAAGGUUUUGCAGGAAAACAUGACAGAGAACCAGACAACUUCGAUGCAAGAUGAAACUAAUGAUGCCAGACUGGGAAGCUUGGAAACCGAGCUUGGAGAUGAAGACACUGAUAAUUCAAAGAAAUGCGCAUGAGCAUGAAGUUUCUGAUGCAACAGAUCUUGCCUUGGGGAGUGAUACUAUGCCUGGUGCUUACUACCUAACAUUUUCAAGAAGAAUUUCCAGUAAUUGGACAAUUACGUAGAGAGCUUGUUAGCUUAGAAUAGGUAAAGGCCAAAGAAAAUCUUGUUUGAGCCUUCUUAGGCUUCGAUGCUUUUCCAGUUCACAGUUAGAUUCAAAAAAAGUGCACUGGCUGCUUGUUUAUCAUCUAGUAAUUGUAAGUUAUGUGACGGUUCAGAUGUUAGCCUGUUAAAUAUUUAUGCAACCCUUUUGUUCUGUUCAUAUUAUCUGGAGCAUUAGCCACAGGUUUUAUGAUCCAAUGUGGAUGCAUUUACCAAUGCCACAGGUUUUAUGAUCCAAUGAUGCAUUUACCAAUCUUUAGAAGAAAAAAAAAAGGAAAAGCAUUGAAGAGAAAGGGGUAUUUGGUGAUUCUUUUUUCUACCUUUAUUUUGCCAGAUAAAAUGGAGUGUGGCAUUUAGGACGAUUUGAACAGGAAAUUUUAUGCAAUUGUGGGUGUUUUGAACUUGUUGAUACGACAGGUUACCCAACCCGGGGCCUGUAGC
rnacentral:lncRNA from 1 species